AUGGCGAAUCUACAGGAAAGGAGAGUACCUUCGACCAUUUGUAAGUGUGAGGUUUUUGAAGUUCCAAAGUUUCCACUAGAUGUUGUAGAAACUCUUGUGCAUCUUGUUGAAUGGAACGAACAAGUUUUUUAUUAGUGGCAAUCUCUAAUGAAUUGAGGAAGGAACCGGGAGUGAUUGGAUUACCGGGGCCACUAUUUAAUUUUUGCAGAAGUUCAUAAAGGGUAGCGUAUAAGGUAGAGGAAGAACAACGGAGUUUUAGGAUUUCCAAUAAUGAUUCUUGACUUGCUAGGGAUUGCAAAACACAAUUGAGGAAACAAUCGUUACCCGAAACAUUGUAAAGGCCUUUGAUGGAGGCGUUUUUCACCAACCUCUUGCCAGUGGAAGGAGAGGUAACGAUGUAAAGGGCAGCAAACGUAGUUAAAAUGGCGGCACCCUUGAAAACUGUUUUGUAUUUUUUUGCCCUAGAAAUGGACAAUGGCGUUGUAGACAUGAUAAUGAAUGCAUGCAAUGAAGAAUUAGGGAAAAGAAAUUAUUAGAGGUAACAGAGAAUAUAAUUUACAAAAGAAAAAAAAAAUUUAUGCAUAAAAACAAAUUUUUUUUGGCAAGGGAAAUAAGAAUAGAAGACGAGCGUUAAGUCACAGCAUAUAUCCACUAGGUUGUUGUUACUAGCUUUAUUGGUAUAAACGAUAACACGAGUCCAAUGGCGGUGAGGUAAAGGACACGAUAAUAACGUACAAUAUAGGUAUAGUUAGGGAGACGAGGUAAUAAGAACCAAACUUUUUGAGCAUAAAACAACCUUUUUAGGAAAUAAUCAGUGAUAGGAUGAGUAAAAGUUUGAAAGUUUUACAAAGGCAAAUUUAAAAAAAAAAACAGUUGUCAAAAAAAGUGUCAGCAAUUAGAAUGUUGUCGAGUAAUGCGACAAAAGACACAAAUAUUACUUUUUGGGAGGAGGGAGUCAAUAAAUAAAUAGAUAAAGUUGAAAGUGGUAGAAUGAUUUUACCUUUGCAAUUUUAGCGAUCGCAAUAGAUGAAAUAGGCGAUAAGAUAUGAAAGGAUAAAAAAGAAAAAGAAAUUAAAAAACGUUAGGAAGUAAUUGUAGAGAAAUGAAAUAGCACAAUUUAAAAAAAAAAAAAUAAGAAAAGAGAAAAAAAAAGUAUAGCGAUCCUAUCAAAGAGAAUAAAUUACGAUGGAAUCAAGAACAAGAAAAAAGGCAAGAGGCGUCUAUAAGAAACAGACAAAAGUUUUUUCGAAGAAGAAAAAAAAAGGGAUCCAAAAAAGAUGGGAGAUUUUUUUCACUUGAUUAUGUGUGAAGGAUUUUUUGUAAGGUAAGAUUAGACGAUGGGGAGGCAGUGCCGAUUUGUCGGUAUGGAUUGUUUUUUGAUGGAGAAAUUAAGAUAAAAGUAAAGGUAUUAAAGUUUUUGCAGAGAAAGCUCACUCAUUCACAAGUACGACACAAAGCAAAUAAUUUGCAAUCAGAUAUGUGUAUAAAAGAGCAACCUUUAGAGAAAAAAAGCAGGUUGGAAGAGAGGGACAGGAGGGCCAAACCCUCAGCAUAAAUAUGCGCCUGAUGAGACGAAAAAAAGGUUUUUUGCAUUGGCAGCGACGUUUGUAUUUGCCGGCAAGCCCAAGGGGUUGCAAUGAUGCGUAAAAGCGACGAUUGGUGGAAGAAGGAAAAGAAUGAAGUUUUAUUUGUGCAGCCCUCCGCAUACCAGUUAGGGAGAUGCAACAUGAUUUGUUAGGGAGAAGAGAGGGAGGACAAGGAGGACGAGUAGGAAAGAAGGUGAAGUGGAGGAAGAAUAGGGAGGAAGAAGGAGAAAGAAGGAAGAGUAAGGAGAGGGAAAGAGAAGGAAGGAGAAGGGAGAAGGAACAAAAGGAAGACGUUGAAGGUAUGACAAGAGAACAAGCGGUACAUUCUUUUUGUAAUGUCAAUAACUUUUGAAUUUUACUUUUGAAUGAUUAACCAUAAUAAAUUCAUUUGCCAAUGCAAAAAAAAACUAGCAAAGGAUGGGCAGUUGAUGAAGCAUAUAUUCAACGAAGCAUAGCAAAAAGUUAUCUCUUUUCUCCAUCCAUCAUCGGUGUUUGAUGUCUGCCGUCAGUAUGUUAGGUGUUGCCUCUGACUGUAUAUAUGGACGGGAUUGCAGACAAAGAAAAGAAACAAAAGGGCUUGUCGCAUUGUUUACAUUCGAGAAAAAUUUACGUCACCCAAGAACACGUUGAAGCGAUAUCAGACACGGCAAAUGUCAGUUGUAUGAUUGGUUAGUUGAUGUGAAUGGACAGUUUAUAUUGCGUAAAUUGCAAAUCAGAUG
rnacentral:lncRNA from 1 species